rnacentral:rRNA from 1 species
ACGGAAGGCAGCAGUGGGGAAUAUUGCACAAUGGGGGAAACCCUGAUGCAGCAACGCCGCGUGAGUGAUGAAGUAUUUCGGUAUGUAAAACUCUAUCAGCUGGGAAGAAGAUGACGGUACCUGACUAAGAAGCACCGGCUAAAUACGUGCCAGCAGCCGCGGUAAUACGUAUGGUGCAAGCGUUAUCCGGAUUUACUGGGUGUAAAGGGUGCGUAGGUGGCAUGGCAAGUCUGAAGUGAAAGCUCGGGGCUCAACCCCGGAACUGCUUUGGAAACUGUCAAGCUAGAGUGCAGGAGAGGAAAGCGGAAUUCCUAGUGUAGCGGUGAAAUGCGUAGAUAUUAGGAGGAACACCAGUGGCGAAGGCGGCUUUCUGGACUGUAACUGGCACUGAGGCACGAAAGCGUGGGGAGCAAACAGGAUUAGAUACCCUGGUA